ACUCUGCCUGUCCUCUGUGUCUCCUCUACAACUCGGCCUGUCCUCUGUGUCUUCUACAACUCUGUCUGUCCCCUUCUAUAAUUCUGUUUGACAGACAGGUGGACUCUGUUACAGUCAUAGAGAGACAGACAGGUGGACUCUGUUACAGUCAUAGAGAGACAGACAGGUGGACCUGUUACGGUCAUAGAGAGACAGACAGAUGGACUCUGUUACAGUCAUGGAGACAGACAGGUGGACUCUGUUAGUCAUAGAGACAGACAGGUGGACUCUGUUACAGUCAUAGAGAGACAGACAGGUGGACUCUGUUACAGUCAUAGAGAGACAGACAGAUGGACUCUGUUACAGUAUAAGAAGACAUACGGGUACUCUGUUACAGUCAUAGAGACAGACAGGUUGACUCUGUUACAGUCAUAGAAC
rnacentral:lncRNA from 1 species